AGAACCCCAAGCAAGUGCGCACCUACAAAGUUUGUCCGCUCCGGGGCACCGUAGUGGCUUUUACCCUGGCCGGGCGGGCUGGGCUACGCGGCUGGAGCCGGGCUCUACCCAGAGCAAGACCCUGAUGGCUGCGGUGUUUCUGGUAACGCUUUAUGAAUACUCGCCGCUUUUCUACAUCGCAGUGGUCUUUACCUGCUUCAUCGUGACCACUGGCCUGGUAUUGGGAUGGUUUGGUUGGGAUGUUCCAGUAAUUCUGAGAAAUUCAGAAGAGACCCAGUUCAGCACAAGAGUUUUCAAAAAGCAAAUGAGACAAGUCAAGAAUCCUUUUGGUUUAGAGAUCACUAAUCCAUCUUCAGCGUCAAUUACAACUGGCAUAACCUUGACAACAGAUUGCCUUGAAGAUAGCCUCCUUACAUGCUACUGGGGGUGCAGUGUUCAAAAAUUAUAUGAAGCUCUGCAGAAGCAUGUUUAUUGCUUCAGAAUAAGCACUCCCCAAGCAUUAGAAGAUGCUCUGUAUAGUGAAUAUCUCUAUCAGGAACAGUAUUUUAUUAAAAAGGAUAGCAAAGAAGAAAUAUAUUGCCAGUUACCAAGAGAUACUAGAAUUGAAGACUUUGGUACAGUACCCAGAUCUCGCUAUCCAUUGGUAGCGCUAUUGACCUUAGCUGAUGAGGAUGACCGAGAAAUUUAUGAUAUUAUUUCCAUGGUGUCAGUGAUUCAUAUUCCUGAUAGGACUUAUAAACUAUCCUGCAGAAUAUUGUAUCAAUAUUUACUCUUGGCUCAAGGUCAAUUUCAUGAUCUUAAGCAACUUUUCAUGUCUGCAAAUAAUAAUUUCACUUCCUCCAACAAUUCCUCUUCAGAAGAAAAAAACAUAGACAGAAGUUUGUUGGAAAAGGUGGGACUCUCUGAAAGUGAAGUUGAGCCAUCAGAGGAGAACAGCAAGGACUGUGUUGUUUGCCAGAAUGGGACUGUGAACUGGGUGCUCUUACCAUGCAGACACACAUGCCUGUGUGAUGGCUGUGUGAAGUAUUUUCAGCAGUGCCCAAUGUGCAGGCAGUUUGUUCAGGAAUCUUUUGCACUUUGCAGUCAAAAAGAGCAAGAUAAAGACAAACUGAAGACUCUUUGAAGGCAUCGUAACACUGAAAAGUACACUUUCUACUAAAGAUGCAGAAAUUGAUGAUCUUGGAAUUCAUCAUAACAUAGAAUCUACAGUACUGACCAUCGAUGAAAAUUCUAUUUUAACUUCAUAUUUGUAUGAUGGAGUUUCACUCUCGUUGCCCAGGCUGGAGUACAAUGGCGCGAUCUCAGCUCACCGCAACCACCACCUCCCGGGUUCAAGCGAUUCUCCUGCCUCAGCCUCCUGACUAGAGUAGCUGGGAUUACAGGCAUGCACCACCAUGCCAGCUAAUUUUGUAUUUUUAGUAAAGACAGGGUUUCUCCAUGUUGGUCAGGCUGAUCUCAAACUCCCGACCUCAGGUGAUCUACCCGCCUCAGCCUCCCAAAGUGCUGGGAUUACAGGUUCACACCACCUGAAGCAGGUGGUCCACAGAUAUCACUGCCAUGAAUUGUAUCUUUCCCUAGGUCUCUACAGGCCUCAUGCAUCAUUCAUGGGACCAAUGUCUUGUUAAGCACCAUUUCCACGGUGUAUCUGGCAGUGCGUGGAAUAGACACUGAGGAGUCAAGCAUAGACCCGCUAUUCUCAAAGAGUGCACCAUCUAUGAUCUCUCUUAUUUAUUGCAAUCUGCCCUUAGUUCUAGACUGAUUCUUCUCAAAUCAAUUUAUCUAUUUUUGGUCUUUCUGCUGAGUUUGAAACUUUCAUUGCUAAGUGGCUAAUGGAUGUUUCCACUCACGUUUCCCACAGGCCCCUCCACCAUGUCCAAAGUAGAACACGUCUUCCUACAAAACCUGUUUCUCUCUCACUUUCCCCUCCUGAGUUAGCAACAUUGCUAUCUUCCCAGAAUCCCACAUUCCCCUUCUUCUGGCCCCUGGUCUCUCCCCCAAUAUUUGAUCAGUCAGCAAAUCUUGAUUCCACUCCUGUAUUAUUAGUUUCUGUGUCUGUCCCCUUUCCCUGCCUGCUAAACCUGACUUACUCCACACUCCUAGUCUCCAUUACACCUUCCUCAGCCUGGUUCUUUAAAGGUAGGUGUACCUCAAUGCUCAGGCCUCAGCAGUCUCUUCUUACCACCCAUCCCAUCCUUUGGCUGAUUCCAUCCAUUCCCAUGUUGGCAAUUCCUAAAUUCUCUAUCUUCAGGCUAGAACUUUCUUUUGAACCCUAGACCCACGUAUCUCCACUCCGUCUCACAGGUUCCUUAAUCUCAACAUGUCCAAAGCUCAACUCAGCAAGUUCCCCAUAACUCUGUUUUGCUUCCUGAGUUCCUCAUCUUGAUGAAUGAUACCAUCCCCAUCCGUGUUGGCCAAACCAGAAACAUGGCCAUCAUUUCUUAUCACUCCUGUUUUGUACCCUUAUCUUUCAAAUCUUAUCUUUACCCCUGCCUCUCUUCCCACCUCCACACUAGGCUUCUCACUACCACCAUUAGAUGACUUUGUAGCCAUCUCCUAACCGUCUCUUGGCCUCCUGUUUGAGUCCUCCCAUCAUACCCAUUCAUUCUCCACAUCCAACCAGGUAGCUCUUUAUAAAAAACUAAUCAAGUUACUUCUGAUUAAAACCCUUCAAUGACUCCCAUUUACUGUCAGGAGAAAAGUUUAAGUCUUAUCAAGCCCCUUCCUGAUUUUGCCUCUGUUUAUGUUUGCAGCCUCCUUACCUCUGUUUUCCUCUUUCACACUCCCCACUCCAGCUAGCCUGUACCACUUCCAUGUCCCAUAACAUACCAUGGUUUUUAUUUGAUUUUUUCUUUUUUUUAGAGAUGGGGUCUUGCUCUGUCACCCAGGCUGGAGUGCAAUGUUGUGGUAAUGGCUCGCUGCAGCCUCGAAUUCCUGGGCUCAAGUGAUCACUCCGCCUCAGCCUCUCGAAUAGCUAGGACUACAGGCAUGUGCUACCAUGCCUGGCUUUUUUUUUUUUUUUUUUUUUUUUUUUUUGAGACCGAGUCUCACUUUGUUGCCUAGGCUGGAGUGCAGUGGCGCAAUCUUGGUUCACUGCAAGCUCCGCCUCCCGGGUUCAAGCGAUUCUCCUGCCUCGGCCUCCCAAGUAGCUGGAAUUAUAGGCACGUACUACCAUGCCCGGCUAAUUUUUGUAUUUUUAGUAGAGACGGGGUUUCACCAUGUUGGCCAGGUUGGUCUUGAGCUCCUGACCUCAGGUGAUCCACAUGCCUUGGCCUCCCAAAGUUCUGGGAUUACAGAUGUGAGCUACCACGCCCGGCUACCUAGCUAUUUUAAUUUUUUUUUUUUUUUUCAGUAGAGAGAAAGUCUCGCUAUGUUGUCCAGGAUGGUCUUAGAUCCUGGCCUCAAGUGAUCCUCCUGCCUUGGCCUCCCUAAGUGCUGGGAUUAUAGGCAUGAGCCACUGUGCCUGGUCAACAUAACAUGCUUAAGCCCAUCCUAGCGUUUAUCACAUUGUGUAUUAUUUGCUUGUUUAUUUCUCUCUGUCUCUCAGUAAACUAAAAACUACUUAGGACAGGAGCUGACUUGUUUCUCCGUGUAUUCCCAUUGCUUUGUACAGAGUUUACCAUUUAACAAAUACUUGUGAAAUGAAUAAAUGAAUCUUAAAAGUA